rnacentral:rRNA from 1 species
CCCUUAGAUGUUCUGGGCUGCACACGUGCUACACUGGCAGGUUCAGCGAGCUUCAUGCCCUGAUCUGAAAGGAAUGGGAAAUCUUUUCAAAACCUGCCGUGCUUGGGAUAGAUGUUUGCAAUUAUUCAUCUUCAACGAGGAUUGCCUUGUAAGCGCACGUCAUCAGCGUGCAUUGAAUACGACCCUGUAUUCUGUACACACCGCCCGUCGCUCCUACCGAUUGAAGUUUUCGGUGAGUUGACAGGAGGAUUUUUUUGAAACUGGUUCGCCGGUGGAUUUUAGAUCCAAAUGCCAACGAAUCGAUGGCUUUAGAGGGAGGAGAAGUCGUAACA